AUUGAACGCUGGCGGCAGGCUUAACACAUGCAAGUCGAACGGUAACAUAAAGAAGCUUGCUUCUUUGAUGACGAGUGGCGGACGGGUGAGUAAUGCUUGGGAAUCUAGCUUAUGGAGGGGGAUAACUACGGGAAACUGUAGCUAAUACCGCGUAGAAUCGAGAGAUGAAAGUGUGGGACCUUCGGGCCACAUGCCAUAGGAUGAGCCCAAGUGGGAUUAGGUAGUUGGUGAGGUAAAGGCUCACCAAGCCGACGAUCUCUAGCUGGUCUGAGAGGAUGACCAGCCACACUGGGACUGAGACACGGCCCAGACUCCUACGGGAGGCAGCAGUGGGGAAUAUUGCGCAAUGGGGGCAACCCUGACGCAGCCAUGCCGCGUGAAUGAAGAAGGCCUUCGGGUUGUAAAGUUCUUUCGGUAGCGAGGAAGGCAUUUAGUUUAAUAAACUAGGUGAUUG
rnacentral:rRNA from 1 species